GGCGAGCCACCAGGAGGGGAUCCAUGCCGGGUGGCCGGGGACGCGCCUCUCCCGUGAUCCCCUUUCUUCUCCAUGACGGCACAGGUUAGUGGCCUCUCAAGCUCUCUUUUCCUUCCCUCUUCUCCAUCUCGCACCGCCCAGACGAUGCCGCCUCACCUUCCACUGGUCCCCUCGAUCUCGGCUCGGGCAGGUCGCCGCCGCCCCCUCCCACCGUGAGGAAGACGACGCCAGAGCCAGGCGGCGGCGCUGGGCUGUACGCCGAGCCUCCCUCAGCCGCCUCCGUCCUCCCUACCGAUGCUCCGUCCUCCGUUUCAAUCAGCUCUGCUCCAACUUUGACUGACAGUUAGUGCCCCGCCUCGACCUGCUCUGCCCCAGUCUGGACAUCAGGUAGCUGCGAGCUCAGGUCGGGGCGCAGUCUAGUGACGCAAGGAGGGGAACCCUGCCAAGAAAAGGAGGCUCUCUGGUCGGGGUAGCACCUGGAGGAGGAGACGACGAGGGCCUCCACCACGACGCAACGUCUGAUGGUCGGCCAUAUUUAAAGUGUUUUCAGUUUCAGGCACACUCCCAGUAGGCCUCUCCUCCCAAAGUAGAUCUCUGAACUUGCUCUCGAUGGGUAGUAUGAUGAUCUGUGAUGCACCUCUGUUUGGUAGAUACACCACAUGAACAAAUGGACAAAGAGGAGAAAAGAAGGACUAGUUAAUAAAAUCAGGAUGCAACUGCGAGCACACAUGUAACAAAUAAUGCAGAAUAAUAUGUCCCAUGCAACCCUGUGACAAAUAUGUUUGAUAUAACCACAAUCAUAGGAAGCUUCAAAUUGUAGGAAAGGUCAUUUUAACUCCCUCAAAAUCUAUGUACUGAAUAAUUUUAAAAUUAUCAUCAGCUUGAUCAAGCAGCCUGAAUUUGACGCCUCAUCUGUUAGAUCUGCAGAAUCAGCUGGCAAUUGGCUGCAACCUUCAUCUCUAAAACUAAAUUAUAAUACAACACUUUGGUUAUUCAGUCCCCUUGGGACACAAUUACUUUCAAAUCGUUCAACUACAACUGCACUUGUCAAAAAUUCAGAACAGUGCCAUGCUACUAAGUUGGAACUUACGACGUGCCACUCCCACCAACUUGGCAACCAAGACAAGAUGGAAAUGCUAUUAAUUCUGCUACCACUACACUAUCAAUUAGCUUUAAUCGUCUCAGUGCCGGUUCAUUCUAGCAAAUUGUUGAUUUGUACGGUUUUGGAAAUUGAUGAGAUACUGGAUUUACUGAUGUGGGAAUUGUCUAUUUGAAUUUUCUACAUUAGUAGAUUACCAGCGACAGCAAGGCACGGCGAUGGCCGGUGGUGGAGAAGACAUUCAGCCUCUUCAGCUAUGCUGUCGACCACCGAGUAUUGACUACAAAUACUACUCACGGAAUAUCUUCAGGUGAAUUUGCUGGGCUUGAGCGAGGGGAAUGGAAUGGGAGACGACGACACAAGUGUUGAAGGCUAGGGAUUUGGGAGCCAAGGAUGUGACGACGUGGAAUGAGAUGGGGGACGACAGUGCAAGCGAGAUGUAGGAGGGUAAAAUUGGAAACCAACAAAAUUUCAUAACAUGACAAGAUUUGUAUGUGGAAGUCUAAAACAUCUUACAUAUGUGAACAUAGGUAGUAUUAGUUUACAAUGGCUCCCAAUCUGAGCCUAAGAUGUCAUUUACCAUGAAGGUAGGCCAUUCUAAAAUUGGAUUCUUUUUCCCAUAGCAAUUCAUUUUUGCCAAUUCUGGGAAAGAUGAUCACCUAAUUUCAUGCACGUCAAAAUAAAUAGAAAUGAAAGCAACGAAUAAUGAGCAAAGAGCACCUCUAUCUAACCCUUAUUACAGUGUAGGCGCUACUAGAGCAAAUACAUCAACUAAAACAAUCACUAGUUCCAAUAUUAAUUUAAGAAAAUAAGAUCCAGCUACAACUUCAUAACCAAAUAUAACUACACUUGGCAUCAUUGUUCAACAGCAUGAUCAACCACGCAAACAUUAAUUUAAGGAAACAAGAUCCUACUUGACAUCAUUGUUCGACAUCAUGAUCAACUGCGCAGGACUCCAGAAACUCAGGAUAGUAGACUUGCC
rnacentral:lncRNA from 1 species